rnacentral:lncRNA from 1 species
GUCACUGUUCAGCCGCUGUGCUCCCUGUAUUAUGGAAUGAGAAGAAGUGAACUGUGAAUGUAUCCUCAGUAAGACUCAUUUCAAACACAGAGGAAUUCAAUCAAGUAUAAGUUCAAGAGGAUCACCUUUCAGAAAUAAUAGAAGUGGAAUUUGAAAAAAAAAGAAAAUGAUAAAACAGAAGAAGCAUGUUUGGAAAAUCCUCAACAAAAUAUACCUGAAGCAAUGAGCCUUCUGACCAA